GACGAACGCUGGCGGCGUGCUUAACACAUGCAAGUCGAACGGAAAGGCCUCUUUCGGGGGGUACUCGAGUGGCGAACGGGUGAGUAACACGUGAGUAACCUGCCCUUGACUUUGGGAUAACUUCAGGAAACUGGGGCUAAUACCGGAUAGGAGCUCCUGCUGCAUGGUGGGGGUUGGAAAGUUUCGGCGGUUGGGGAUGGACUCGCGGCUUAUCAGCUUGUUGGUGGGGUAGUGGCUUACCAAGGCUUUGACGGGUAGCCGGCCUGAGGGGGUGACCGGCCACAUUGGGACUGAGAUACGGCCCAGACUCCUACGGGAGGCAGCAGUGGGGAAUAUUGCACAAUGGGUGGAAGCCUGAUGCAGCAACGCCGUGUGCGGGAUGACGGCCUUCGGGUUGUAAACCGCUUUCGCUCAUGACGAAGCUUUAUGUGACGGUAGUGGGUAAAGAAGCACCGGCUAACUACGUG
rnacentral:rRNA from 1 species